rnacentral:rRNA from 1 species
UACGGGGGGGCAAGCGUUGUUCGGAAUUACUGGCGUAAAGGGCUCGUAGGCGGCCAACUAAGUCAGACGUGAAAUCCCUCGGCUUAACCGGGGAACUGCGUCUGAUACUGGAUGGCUUGAGUUUGGGAGAGGGAUGCGGAAUUCCAGGUGUAGCGGUGAAAUGCGUAGAUAUCUGGAGGAACACCGGUGGCGAAGGCGGCAUCCUGGACCAACACUGACGCUGAGUGAGCGAAAGCCAGGGGAGCAA